GGUGACAUGGCCGAGCGGUCUAAGGCGCCAGAAUCAGGUGCAUCCGCGGAUAUCACUUUAUCUGGUCUUUCGGGGCGGGAGUUCGAAUCUCCCUGUCAUCA